rnacentral:rRNA from 1 species
CCCUUAGAUGUUCUGGGCCGCACGCGCGCUACACUGAACAGUUCAACAAGUCUUAACCUUGGCUGAUAGGUCUGGGUAAUCUUUGAACGCUGUUCGUGAUUGGGAUAGACCUUUGCAAUUAUGGGUCUUCAACGAGGAAUUCCUAGUAAACGCAAGUCAUCAGCUUGCAUUGAUUACGUCCCUGCCCUUUGUACACACCGCCCGUCGCACCUACCGAUUGAAUGGUCCGGUGAAAUCUCGGGACGGCGGCUUGGUCGCUUGCGUCCGACUGCUGAAACUUGAUUAAACCAUAUCAUUUAGAGGAAGGUGAAGUCGUAACA